CCUCGACCUCCCAACAUGCUGGGAUUACAUGUGUGAGCCACCAUGCCUGGUCCAGACAUUUUUAAUUGCAAGUAAUCAGCCUGUAGAUUUCCUUGAAGAUUUUGAUACUUGCCCUCGAAGAAUAUUAAAUUAUGGAAGAGGAAUAAGUAAAAAAAAUAUAUGAAUAGUGUGAUAAGCCAUAAUAGAGGUACAUUCUUAAAAGCCUGCAACACAGAGCAGAGAGAAAAAACUCUACCUGGAUGAUUAGAGAACUCUUUAUCAAGUAAAUAAUACAAGAGCCUUGCAUGACAAGUUAGAACUCUUAGAGGUGGAGAAGGGAAUUUGCAGAAGAGGAAACAGCCUGAGCUAAAAGCACUAGCGUGGGGGCGUCUGUGGUCUAUUCAGGAAACAGGAGAGAGUUUUGUAUUGACAAGGUGGUGGUGAACCAGGACUGGUGGCAGAUAUACAACUGUAAAGGCAGGUUGAGGCAAUUGUGAAAAACUUGUAUAACAUGCUUUGAGCAGAACUGUUUCUUAGACACACCUCUGAUGUGGUAAGGAGAACAGGCUCUAAGUUAGCAUGGAGACAGAGAGAGUAGUUUAAAAUCCAGUUAAGGCAAUCAGAGCAGAGAAGCUGAUCUGGAAGUAAGAGCAUGCACCCUCUAUCCUGCUGCCUGAGAAAAAUGCAGAAGUCCGGGUUGGAGUUAUAGUUCCAUUGCAAACAGCCUACGAUUCAGACUGCGGGAACACCUCAAGCAAUCUCAGCCUGAUAGAGCUGCCAGUGCCCUCUGAUGGUGGCCCAUUUGAUGGCCAGAAAUCAAGGCACCAUCUAAUUCCUCUUCCCUAUCCCAAGGUCUUACCAAAUGCUUGUCUGCUGUGAUAACUGCUGGAGCCACAGAUCUUCAAGACAUUAGUCUUUCAAUCGAAAAGCUCAUAGUCUCGUCAUCCUGAUGAGGACCCUGCAGUGUCCAGCUAAGCUGGUGACUUGGAGAUAAAUCUGCCUAAGCCUGGGAUGAAGUAUCUGUGAACUAUUUUGACAGCAGAUGCUAACAUUCCACUGUAUCUAUACACUCCAUUCUCUGUAUCCAUUUAUAUGUCAAUGGAUAUUUGGGUUGCUUUCACCUCUUGGCUAUUGUGAAUAAUGCUGUAAUGAACAUGGAUAUGAAAAUAUAUCAUCAAGAGUCUGUCUUCAAUUCUACUGGAUAUGUACCCAGAAGUGGGAUUUCUGGAACAUAUGGUAACUGCAUUUUUUAAUUUCCUGAGGAAACUCUAUACUGUUUUUCAUGGUGGCUGCACUGUCAAUUCCCAUUGACAAUGCACAAGAAUUGCAAUUUCUCCUCAUUCCAAUACCAUUUGCUAUUUUCUGUUUUUGUAACAGUGGCCAUGUGUAUUAGUCCAUUCUCACACUGCUAUAAAGA